rnacentral:rRNA from 1 species
UCGCCUGUUUUUCCAAAAACAUUUCUUAUAGAAAUAAUUAUAAGUAAAACCUGCUCCAUGAAAUAUUAAAUAGCCGCAGAAUUUUACUGUGCUAAGGUAGCAUAAUCAUUUGUUUCUUAAUUAGAAACUAGAAUGAAAGGUUUAAUAUUUUAUUUCUAUUAUUAUUUAAUUAUUUUUAAUUUAUACUAAAUGUAAAAAUACAUUUAUAAAAAUAAAAGACGACAAGACCCUAUCGAACUUAACUAUUAGUUUUGCUGGGGAAGCAUAUUAAUUAAAACUUUAAUAUUUUAAAAUUCAAAAUGACCCAAUAUAUUAAUUGAAUCAAUGAACAAGUUACCGUAGGGAUAACAGCGUAAUUUUUAUUUAUAGUUCUUAUAAAAAUAAAAGCUUACGACCUCGAUGUUGAAUUAAUUUACCUAUUUUAAGCAAUAUUAAAAUUAGGAGGUCUGUUCGACCUUUAAUAAAUUACAUGAUCUGUUUCAAAACCCG